AUGCCCAAGCGCACCAUGGGAGGAAGGGCCGACGGCAGGACCGACGCCAUGGUGCAUGAAGCAUCCAAGCGCCAUGCGAAGAUGCACAUGGAGAAACCCCUCCCCGCCGGCGAGGUGUCCAUCCGGCAGCAGGGCGGCCUUGACGUCGUCGACCACAUCCAGGCUCCCGUGCAGGUGUCACCUACGUCGGAGCAGGUGGCUCCUCCGCCGGAGCAGGUAGCUGCUUUGGUUCCUCAGAUGGAGCAGGUGUCUCCUCUGCCGCGGGUGACACCUCCUGUGCCCGAGCCUGUGGUCGUCGGCGAUGUCAAAAAAGAAGACGUAGCUCCUCUGGCUUCUCUGUCGGAGCAGGUGGUGGCUCCUCAGCCUCAGCCGGGUGUUCGUCUGCCGCGGUUGUUGCCUCCCCUGCCCCCACCCGUGGUCGUCGCCGACGAGAAAAAAGAAGUCCUAAGUGACGAUGUUGACAGUGACCCAGAAGCCCAUAGGAUCUUCAGGAGGCAGAAAUUGAGGCAGUUGAACAGUGGUGAGCUCGAGAAAGCUGUGAGGCCUAGAUUCGGAAAGGGCUACGGAUGCCCUUACUACAACAAGGUGAUGAAAGGCGAGCUGUCGAGUACCAUCAACCACGCAGUCGGAACAUCCCAAGGCAGCAUCAAGAAUGGCUACGCUUUCAGGGUGAAGCACGCCGCGUAUGCCGACUACUUGAUGAGGCUUCUUUGA
rnacentral:rRNA from 1 species